UCGGACAUCGGGUACCAUUGCUAGAUGGUCACUUCGAUUAGUAUAGGAAUUGGUUCCUGUGCUACCGGCUUAGGUUCGAACCUGUGGGGUCACACACAUUAGAGGUUCCUAUCUGAUAUGAUGGUUGAUGUAGAAUCUUACAUGUUUGGGACUCAGUGAUCGAGAAUCAGGAUUCUCUGAUCAUGAGUUCCAAACAUUAUGGGUACCGG
rnacentral:lncRNA from 1 species